GCAUUUUUAAAGAUAUUUCUAUAUUUUAGUAGUUGUUAAUUUACUAAAUUACUCAUGCAAAAAUUCAUUUACCUAGUUUUAAACUAGGGAGAUUUGCAAAACUACUAUUUUUUUACUACCCUUUUGCAACAAUACCCUUUUAUGUUGUCCAUUUUUAAAAAUACCCUUUCCUUUGAAUAAAAUGACCAAAUUACCAUCAUCUAAUAGAAACAUGUAAUUGGAAACUGAACUUUUCCCGCCAAUUUUUUGGCGCCAAAAUUUGUUUUUCCGGCCAAAAAAAAAGUUUCCGCCAAACUUUUUUCCCACCAAAAAUAAAAAAAAAUUCCCGCCAAAAAAACAAUUUCCCGCCAAUUUUUUUUUCCGUAACAGAUUUUUCCUCAGCCAAAAAAUGAUUUUAAAAAUCCUUGUAAAUAUUUUUUGGCGGCAAAUAGAUUUACAUGGGAUUUUAAAAGGGUUUUGAAAGAUUUAAAAGAGAUUUUAAAAAGGUUUUACAAGAUUUACAAGAGAUUUUAAAAGAGUUUUUAAAGAUUUACAAGGGAUUUUAAAAGGGUUUUAAAAAAUUUACAAGUAAUUUUAAAAGGUUUUAAAAUCCCUUGUAAAUCUUUCAAAACACUUUUAAACCCUUUAAAAAGCUUUACAAAUCCUUUGUAAAUCAUUUAAAGCCCUUUAACAUCCAUUGUAAAUAUUGUAAAACCCUUUUAAAAUCCCUUAUAAAUAUUUUAAAAUCCUUUUAAAACAAAUUUUAAACCCUUUAAAAAUCUUUAAAAGAUCUUUGUAAAUCUUUAAAAUCUCUUUAAAAUCUCUUGUAAAUCUUUUAAAACCCUUUUAAAAUGCCUUGUAAACCUUUUAAAACCCUUUUAAAAUCACUUGUAAAUCACCCUUUUAAAAUCCCUUGUAAAUCUUAUAAAACUCCUUUAAAAUCCCUUGUAAAUCUUUGAAAACUCUUUUAAAAUACCUUGUAAAUCUAUUUCCCGCCAAAAAAAAAAAAUUGGUCGGAAAUUUAUUUUUGAAAACAAAAUUUGGCGGGAAAUUAUUUUUCGAAAAUUUUUGGCGGGAAUUUUUUUUUCGAAAUGUUUUGGCGGGAAAUUUUGUUUUAGAAUAUUUUAGGCGAAAAAUAUUAAUAUUUCAUUUUGUUAACCUAAAACAAUUUCCAAAUAAGGGUAAAAUGGUCAUUAAAAAUUUAAAGAUGGUAGAAAUAAAUAUGGAUAAAAUAAAAGGGUAGAGUUGAAAAGGGGCAUCAUGAAAAGGGCAUUAGAAAGAAUUUUUCUUUAAACUACCCUUACAAUGUUGUAGUUCACAAAAUGUUUACCAAUUAAUAGUAUAUAUAUAUAUAUAUAUAAAUAUAUAUAUAUAUA
rnacentral:sRNA from 1 species